AAAGGAAUAGACGGGGGCCCGCACAAGCGGUGGAGCAUGUGGUUUAAUUCGUCACUAACCGAAGAACCUUACCAGGGUUUGACAUCUUCCGAAUCCGGGUGAAAGCCUGGAGUGCCCCCAAAAGGGGAGCGGAAAGACAGGUGUUGCAUGGCUGUCGUCAGCUCGUGUCGUGAGAUGUUGGGUUAAGUCCCGCAACGAGCGCAACCCUCAUCCGAUGUUGCCAGCGAGUAAAGUCGGGAACUCUUCGGAAACUGCCCGGGUAACCGGGAGGAAGGUGGGGAUGACGUCAAGUCGGCAUGGCCCUUACGCCCUGGGCUACACACAUGCUACAAUGGACGUUAAACAAAGGGAACCGAAACCGCGAGGUGGGGGAAAUCUCAAAAAUACGUCCUCAGUUCGGAUCGUAGUCUGCAACUCGACUACGUGAAGUCGGAAUCGCUAGUAACCGCAGAUCAGCUAAGCUGCGGUGAAUACGUUCCCGGGCCUUGUACACACCGCCCGU
rnacentral:rRNA from 1 species